GGCUCAUAGCUCAGUUGGACAGAGCGCUGGUCUUCGAAACCAGAGGUUCGCGAGUUCGAUCCUCGCUGGAGUCG
rnacentral:tRNA from 1 species